GGCCUGGUCUCAUGCAAUGAGAUGUCGUGGACAACGGGUCAGGCUGGAAACAGAGCAGCCCAUCUGCUACAGCCAUGUGCCGUGAGUCGCUGGGCCGCA
rnacentral:SRP_RNA from 2 species